UACGUAGGCAGCAAGCGUUGUUCGGAGUUACUGGGCGUAAAGGGCGCGUAGGCGGCUUGGCAAGUGGAUGGUGAAAUCCCUCGGCUUAACCGAGGAACUGCCGUCCAAACUGCUUCGCUUGAGACCGGGAGAGGUGAGUGGAAUUCCCAGUGUAGCGGUGAAAUGCGUAGAUAUUGGGAGGAACACCAGUGGCGAAGGCGGCUCACUGGACCGGUACUGACGCUGAUGCGCGAAAGCGUGGGGAGCAAACGGG
rnacentral:rRNA from 1 species